rnacentral:rRNA from 1 species
UGGGGAAUAUUGCACAAUGGGCGCAAGCCUGAUGCAGCCAUGCCGCGUGUAUGAAGAAGGCCUUCGGGUUGUAAAGUACUUUCAGCGGGGAGGAAGGCGAUAAGGUUAAUAACCUUGUCGAUUGACGUUACCCGCAGAAGAAGCACCGGCUAACUCCGUGCCAGCAGCCGCGGUAAUACGGAGGGUGCAAGCGUUAAUCGGAAUUACUGGGCGUAAAGCGCACGCAGGCGGUCUGUCAAGUCGGAUGUGAAAUCCCCCGGCUCAACCUGGGAACUGCAUUCGAAACUGGCAGGCUAGAGUCUUGUAGAGGGGGGUAGAAUUCCAGGUGUAGCGGUGAAAUGCGUAGAGAUCUGGAGGAAUACCGGUGGCGAAGGCGGCCCCCUGGACAAAGACUGACGCUCAGGUGCGAAAGCGUGGGGAGCAAACA